AGUGAACGCUGGCGGUAGGCCUAACACAUGCAAGUCGAACGGCAGCACAGUAAGAGCUUGCUCUUACGGGUGGCGAGUGGCAGACGGGUGAGGAAUACAUCGGAAUCUACUUUUUCGUGGGGGAUAACGUAGGGAAACUUACGCUAAUACCGCAUACGACCUACGGGUGAAAGCAGGGGAUCUUCGGACCUUGCGCGAUUGAAUGAGCCGAUGUCGGAUUAGCUAGUUGGCGGGGUAAAGGCCCACCAAGGCGACGAUCCGUAGCUGGUCUGAGAGGAUGAUCGGCAACACUGAAACGGGAAAACGUUCAGACUCCCAAGGGAAGGCGGCGUGGGGAAUUAUUGGAAAUGGGGGGCAGGCUGGUCCAAGCCAACCGGGGGGGGUAAGGAAGGCUUCCGGUUUGAAAGCCCUUUUGUUGGGAAAGAAAAGCAGCAGGUUAAUACCCCGCUGUUCUGACGGUACCCAAAGAAUAAGCACCGGCUAACUUCGUG
rnacentral:rRNA from 1 species